GGCGUAGGGGGGAAUAACACGUGGGUAACCUAUCCUUGAGUUCGGGAUAUCCUCUCGAAAGGGAGGCUAAUACCGGAUACGUUCCUCGGGUUGCGAAAUCUGGGGAGGAAAGGUGGCGCAGGCUGCCGCUUUUGGAGGGACUCGCGGCCUAUCAGCUAGUUGGUGAGGUAACGGCUCACCAAGGCGAUGACGGGUAGCUGGUCUGAGAGGACGACCAGCCACACGGGAACUGAGACACGGUCCCGACUCCUACGGGAGGCAGCAGUGGGGAAUUUUCCGCAAUGGGCGAAAGCCUGACGGAGUGACGCCGCGUGGGGGACGAAGGCCUUCGGGUCGUAAACCCCUGUC
rnacentral:rRNA from 1 species